rnacentral:rRNA from 1 species
GGGAUAGUUGGGGGCAUUAAUAUUUAAUUUCAGAGGUGAAAUUCUUGGAUUUAUGAAAGAUUAACUUCUGCGAAGGAAUCUGCCAGGAUGUUUUCAUUAAUCAAGAACGAAAGUUAGGGGAUCGAAGACGAUCAGAUACCGUCGUAGUCUUAACCAUAAACGAUGCCGACCAGCGAUUAGGAGACGUUGAAUACAAAACACCACCAUCGGCGCGGUCGUCCUUGGCGUGUCUCGGCUUCACGGCCGGGGCGCGCGAGGGCGGUUUAGCCCGGUGGCACCGGUGAAUGACUCCCCUAGCAGCUUGUGAGAA